rnacentral:rRNA from 1 species
AGUGAACGCUGGCGGUAGGCCUAACACAUGCAAGUCGAACGGCAGCACAGUAAGAGCUUGCUCUUACGGGUGGCGAGUGGCGGACGGGUGAGGAAUACAUCGGAAUCUACUUUUUCGUGGGGGAUAACGUAGGGAAACUUACGCUAAUACCGCAUACGACCUACGGGUGAAAGCAGGGGAUCUUCGGACCUUGCGCGAUUGAAUGAGCCGAUGUCGGAUUAGCUAGUUGGCGGGGUAAAGGCCCACCAAGGCGACGAUCCGUAGCUGGUCUGAGAGGAUGAUCAGCCACACUGGAACUGAGAAACGGUCCAGACUCCUCCGGGAGGCAGCAGUGGGGAAUAUUGGACCAUGGGCGCAAGCCUGAUCCAGCCAUACCGCGUGGGUGUAGAAGGCCUUCGGGUUGUAAAGCCCUUUUGUUGGGAAAGAAAAGCAGCAGGUUAAUACCCCGCUGUUCUGACGGUACCCAAAGAAUAAGCACCGGCUAACUUCGUG